AGCAGCCGCGGUAAUUCCAGCUCCAAUAGCGUAUAUUAAAGUUGUUGCAGUUAAAAAGCUCGUAGUUGAAUUUCGGGGUUAGUAGGUUGGUCAUGCCUCUGGUAUGUACUGGUCUCACUGAUUCCUCCUUCCUGAUGAGCCGUAAUGCCAUUAAUUUGGUGUUGCGGGGAAUUUGGACUGUUACUUUGAAAAAAUUAGAGUGUUUAAAGCAAGCUAACGCUUGAAUACAUUAGCAUGGAAUAAUGAAAUAGGACGUUCGAUCCUAUUUUGUUGGUUUCUAGGAUUGACGUAAUGAUUAAUAGGGAUAGUUGGGGGCAUUAGUAUUCAAUUGUCAGAGGUGAAAUUCUUGGAUUUAUUGAAGACUAACUACUGCGAAAGCAUUUGCCAAGGAUGUUUUCAUUAAUCAAGAACGAAAGUUAGGGGAUCGAAGACGAUCAGAUACCGUCGUAGUCUUAACCAUAAACUAUGCCGACUAGGGAUCCGAUGAUGUUAAUUUUUAAUGACUCAUUCGGCGCCUUAA
rnacentral:rRNA from 1 species